rnacentral:rRNA from 1 species
GAUGAACGCUGGCGGCGUGCCUAAUACAUGCAAGUAGAACGCAGAGGAUUGGUGCUUGCACUAAUCUAAUGAGUUGCGAACGGGUGAGUAACGCGUAGGUAACCUGCCUGGUAGCGGGGGAUAACUAUUGGAAACGAUAGCUAAUACCGCAUAAUAGUUUAUGACUCAUGUUAUAAACUUGAAAGAUACAACUGUAUCACUACCAGAUGGACCUGCGUUGUAUUAGCUAGUAGGUAGGGUAACGGCCUACCUAGGCGACGAUACAUAGCCGACCUGAGAGGGUGAUCGGCCACACUGGGACUGAGACACGGCCCAGACUCCUACGGGAGGCAGCAGUAGGGAAUCUUCGGCAAUGGGGGGAACCCUGACCGAGCAACGCCGCGUGAGUGAAGAAGGUUUUCGGAUCGUAAAGCUCUGUUGUUAAGGAAGAACGGGAGUAGGAGUGGAAAGCCUACUUUGUGACGGUACUUAACCAGAAAGGGACGGCUAACUACGUGCCAGCAGCCGCGGUAAUACGUAGGUCCCGAGCGUUAUCCGGAUUUAUUGGGCGUAAAGCGAGCGCAGGCGGUUAGAUAAGUCUGGAGUAAAAGGCUAUGGCUCAACCAUAGUGUGCUCUGGAAACUGUUUAACUUGAGUGCAGAAGGGGAGAGUGGAAUUCCAUGUGUAGCGGUGAAAUGCGUAGAUAUAUGGAGGAACACCGGUGGCGAAAGCGGCUCUCUGGUCUGUAACUGACGCUGAGGCUCGAAAGCGUGGGGAGCGAACAGG